rnacentral:rRNA from 1 species
AUUGAACGUUGGCGGCUUGCUUAUCCCUUGCAAGUCGAGCGAGCGGCGGACUGGUGAAUAAUGUCUGGACACCUGCCUGAGGCAGGGGGAUAUCUACUGGAACCGGUCUCUAAUAGCGCACACCAUCAUUUGUGCCUCGAUGGGAUGAGCUAUUAGGUGGUGUAAUGGCUCACCUAGGCGACGAUCCCUAGCUGGUCCGAGAGGAUGACCAGCAACACUGGAACUGAGACACGGUCCAGACUCCUACGGGAGGCAGCAGUGGGGAAUAUUACACAAUGGGCGAAAGCCGGAUGCAGCCAUGCCGCGUGUGUGAAGAAGGUCUUCGGGUUGUAAAGCACGUUCAGCGAGGAGGCGUUACUCACAGAGAAAGCAACGGCUAACUCCGUGCCAGCCGCCGCGGUAAUUC